GUUUGAUCUGGCUCAGGAUGAACGCUAGCUACAGGCUAACACAUGCAAGUCGAGGGGCAGCAUGAAGUCAGCUUGCUGACUUGAUGGCGACCGGCGCACGGGUGAGUAACGCGUAUCCAACCUUCCCCUUAGUAGGGCAUAGCCCGUAGAAAUGCGGAUUAAUACCCUAUGUUCUUCGUCGAGGACAUCUGAAGUGAAGCAAAGAUUUAUCGCUAAGGGAUGGGGAUGCGUCUGAUUAGGCCGCAGGCGGGGUAACGGCCCACCUGGCCGACGAUCAGUAGGGGUUCUGAGAGGAAGGUCCCCCCACAUUGGAACUGAGACACGGUCCAAACUCCUACGGGAGGCAGCAGUGAGGAAUAUUGGUCAAUGGUCGAGAGACUGAACCAGCCAAGUAGCGUGCAGGAUGACGGCCCUAUGGGUUGUAAACUGCUUUUAUGCGGGGAUAAAGUGGGGGACGUGUCCCUUUUUGUAGGUACCGCAUGAAUAAGGACCGGCUAAUUCCGUGCCAGCAGCUGC
rnacentral:rRNA from 1 species